AGAAGAAGUAGAAAAACCUUAGCGUAUUUAUUUGCAAUUUUCGCAUUUUAAGCCGAUAAAAGCGGGGCAGUGAGCUUGUGUGUGCUAGUGUGUGGGAGGUGUGCGGUGAGGCUGUGAGGCGGUGAGGCGGUGAGGCGGUGAGGGGUGGUGACUGUAUAAAAUGACAAGCGUUUGACACAAGCACCGGAAUAUCCGUCAGUGUGGCGACGAAGCGGACGACACUGCGUCCUGAGUCCUGAAGCCAAAAGAAGGACAAGGGAGCUCCAGGAAAACGACAGGAUGGCGAUGAUGAGGCCGGAGGAGAGCGGUGGAAAUGUGUGUCCUGCGCGUGCAGUGUUUGCUAGCGUGUUACGGCCACAUCCAUAAUACAAAAGGAUGCUCCGGCCAAACCGAGCGAGCAUCAUUUCCCGAUGCCAUUUUUAGUUGUGUCUCUCGGUCUCCAACUGUGUGUGUCAACUAUUCUAAUAGUUCCCGCUUGAGUGGUGUGUGUGUGAGUGUGUCUUUGCGUGAUUUACAGUUGCGCUGAUUGCAAGGAUAAUGCCAAAGUACUCUGCUCGCUGGCAGGAAGUCUCUGGCGCGCUCCCAUUCUUUGCUCGCCAAGGAAGUCCCUGCCAAAGCGGAUGUUAACUUAAAGUGUAUAGGAGUCGAAGCUGCGGGAGGAGAGGCAAAAACUGGAAGCGAAUAGGUGGCGGAUGCUUCAGUUGAAUUUGCCGUUGCCUAAGUGCCGCUCCGACUUUGAACUAUGACGUUGGCUUUUAGUGUAUUAAGAAAAUGUCAAAGGAGCUGGCAGCUCAAGCUCCAGUCGAAGUGGUACCAGGUGCUUUACUGCGAAUUCGGAGGGGCCAGGGGAACUAAUACAUAAUAAUGCAAUUUUGCCAAGGACAACGGCAAUGAGGACUGCGGAUUCAUUUGGCUUAUGCCAAAUGCCACGCAGAAUUUAAAAUCUAAAAAGCAUUCUUUCAAACCAAAAUGUGUGCAGCAUCACCGGCACUCAAUAAACAGAACAACGGAAAGAGAAUAAAUGUAUACCCAGCCAAAAAUUCCAUAAGCCCAACAUAACAAUUACUGCCAUGUUGGAACACAUAAAUAUUUUAUAAGGCUCGAAUCCCAGGGAUCCCCGUUCCAGCAUCCACCUGUGCGUAUGUAUGUAUAUACAGGAUUCGGCCACCUAUGUAUAACCACUGGCAGUCCCAAGUGUCCUGCCCUGCACUUAAUCUCAAUUUGAUGCCUACGUAUACCCUGUCGUCUGUAAUUGAAAAGUAAGGAGAAUUUGUAUGUUGUGCUAAGCUUUAAGGGGGAGUAACAAGGAUACGAUUCAAAGGGUUUUCUGCCUCCAUGAAAAAUGAUCUGAGAAAACAGAAUUGAGUAUUCAAAGCUAAAUCGUUUACCUGGAAAGAGCCCCCACCAACCACUGGAUAUAUCCACCGGUCCCUUCCUAUAAUCGUAUAUGCCAUAAGAGUAUUAACGCAAUUCAAUUUCUGCCCAUUUUGCCUCCAUCCAUAGAACAAAAAAAACAACAACAGCAACUGUAGGAAUAACUACAGCAAUAAGAGCUGGCCUGAAACAAUGUAUAUUGCGCCACCUGCGCAGAGCAAACCGAUAUAUACAAAUCCUGUGUGAUCUUUAGGAAAUUGAAUUUAAAAA